rnacentral:rRNA from 2 species
AUACCGGCAGCACGAGUGAUGACCGCUAUUAUUGGGCCUAAAGCGUCCGUAGCUGGCCACGCAAGUUUAUCGGGAAAUCCGCGCGCUCAACGCGCGGGCGUCCGGUGAAAACUGUGUGGCUUGGGACCGGAAGACCAGAGGGGUACGUCCGGGGUAGGAGUGAAAUCCCGUAAUCCUGGACGGACCACCGGUGGCGAAAGCGCCUCUGGAAGACGGAUCCGACGGUGAGGGACGAAAGCUCGGGUCACGAACCGGAUUAGAUACCCGGGUAGUCCGAGCUGUAAACGAUGUCUGCUAGGUGUGGCACAGGCUACGAGCCUGUGCUGUGCCGUAGGGAAGCCGUGAAGCAGACCGCCUGGGAAGUACGUCCGCAAGGAUGAA